AUGGCGGGGAGGUUCUCGUCGGAGAUAGAGGUGUAGUGGGGAGGGAAUUGGUUGCAGGUGAAGCGGAAAAGGCAGAUCCAGAUCUUGGCAGCGUAAUCGACGGUGGAGAAGGGGUUGAGGACGGAGCGGCAUGUGCGGUAGCAGAGGGGUGUAAGGGAAGACGAGCAUGGAGAGGAAUGGCUUGAUUGGAGUGUAGAUGGAUGCAGUGGCGGAUCCAGGAUUUUAAAUUCGGGGGUCCCAAUAAUAAAGGUGGCAUUGUGAUUUGUUUAAAGGCAAAGGGAAGGGAUGCAUAGUUUCAUGCAAAGCAUGUAGAAGCCUUCCGUAAAAGCUGGGGGAUGAAAAUGAUGACCUUUAUUUAAAUGCAAGGAAUUGCUUGCAUUGUAUAUAAAUGCUUUCCUAGUGUGAAGAAGAGGAGUGUGCAUCCGGAAAACACAGAGGAAAAAGAAAAUAGAGUGAGAGUGAGAAACUCUUGGGGAGAGUGAGGCUCUUGGAAAAAUUCUGUGAGUGUACAAGAGAUUGGGGUUUUGGUUAUGUCAAUUUAACUCAUGUAUAUUUUGUACUAGUUAUUCUCAUAGUGAAAAGCAAUAUAUCUCCGAUGACGUAGGCAGGUUUUUGCCGAACCU
rnacentral:sRNA from 1 species